rnacentral:misc_RNA from 1 species
UUGAUUUUAAUUAUUUGUGAAGGUACUACUAAUUAACAACAAUUUUAUAAUCAAAAACAAAAAAAAAAAAAAUCAAA